ACACGGAGGGGGCUGACGUUGUUCGGAAUCAUUGGGCGUAAAGGGCGCGCAGGCGGCCGUCCAAGUCCGGUGUUAAAUGGUCGGGCUCAACCCGAUCAUGCGGUGGAAACUGGGCGGCCUGAGGCCCGUAGGGGAUGCCGGGAUUCCAGGGGUAGGGGGGAAAUCUGUAGCAAUCUGGAAGAAAACCGAUGGAGAAGGCAGGCAGCUGGCCGGAGACUGACGCUGAGGCGCGAAGGCGCGGGGAGCGAACAGGUUUAGAUACCCUGGUAGUCCGCGCAGUAAACGAUGCGCACCAGGUGUCGGGCGGCAGCGCCCGGUACCGGAGCUAACGCGAUGAGUGCGCCGCCUGGGGAGUAUGCCCGCAAGGGUGAAACUCAAAGGAAUUGACGGGG
rnacentral:rRNA from 1 species